CGCCUGUUUUACAAAAACAUAGCCUUAUGAAUUACAUAUAAGGUGAGCCCUGCCCGGUGAUUUAAUUCAACGGCCGCAGUACCCUGACUGUGCUAAGGUAGCGUAAUCAGUUGUCUUUUAAAUGGAGUCGAGAAUGAAGGGGUUUAUGGGGGAGAGCUGUUUCUAAGCUGAUUGAUUGAAUUUAUUUACCGGGUGAAAAUCCCCGGAAGCAGAAAAAAGACGAGAAGACCCUUAGAAUCUGUACUAGUAUGCAGUAAAUUUGCACUUUGUUUUUGUUGGGGCGACAACGAGGCACUUAUUGGUAAACCCUCGACAUAAAACAUAAACAUGACGAUGUUGAUAAGUAAGAUUAGAUUACCUUAGGGAUAACAGCAUAAUUUUUUUGAAAGCUUGUGACCUCGAUGUUGGACUAGGGACCUUACGACUAGCCGUCGCAGUGGCAGGAUCUGUUCGAUCCCUCAAACCCUACGUGAUCUGA
rnacentral:rRNA from 1 species